rnacentral:rRNA from 1 species
UCUGGCGGCUUUAGCGCGGUGGUCCCACCUGACCCCAUGCCGAACUCAGAAGUGAAACGCCGUAGCGCCGAUGGUAGUGUGGGGUCUCCCCAUGUGAGAGAAACAAGUAGAAAGGCCAUCC